rnacentral:lncRNA from 1 species
UUUUUUUUAUAGAACUCGUUGAUUAGUGCGUUCAAAAACAAUAUGAAUGAAAACAAAAUUAAAUGAUAUCCUUAAACAAAAGAAAAAAGAGAAUAAACACAAAACAUAAACAAAUAUAUGUCAAUUAAUAUUUAUUAUAUUACAUUAAUUAAACCCAACAAACGGGCAAACAAGAAAGACAAAAAAAAGUAAAUACGUAAAAAGAGUCAAACAACAUCCAAAAUUAGGAAUAUAGACUUGGAAGAAAUUAUACAUAAAAACCAAACCUAUGAAGAGAAAAUAAUACAAACAAACAUUUAUUUAUGGAUGAGCUAUAUCUAGCGUUUGAGAUGCUUGAUUUUGUUCCAUCCUUUCUUGAAUGAAUUUCCAACAGUAUGGAUUCCCUUCUUGAAAAAUCUCUCCACCUCCUUGGCUCUGUACUUCACCUGUCGUUCAAAUCCACCCAUAGUGAGAGAGAGAGAUAUGGUUUAGGUGAAGAAAGAGAGAUAACUAACAACAACUUAGUACUAGAAUAAAACAAUAGAGAAAGAAACCUAUUUAUUAAAUUAAACAAGGAAAGGAGUAGUGGGAUCCAACGCAUCACAGGACACGUGGAAUUGAUAAGUGGAUGCCAUGGCCUUAAACUUAAAUCUGAGUCGUUUGUUUCAUGUCGAUCGCAAGUUGCUUUGCUUGCUUGCGGGAUAAGCAUAAAAUUCACAUCAACCGACGUUAACACAACUCGAAGCUGAGUUUUCUAUUAAGGCCCCAGCAUAGCCACGGGCCCAUUAUAUUGGUUCCGUGUCACUCUUUUUUCUCUUCUUUUAACUAAUUAAUAAUUGAGAAAUUAUAUUUAUACAACCAUUUUUUUAUAUAUUUUGUACAAUUUUUUCUCUCAUACUCACAUUAUCUUCUCAUUCUCUCUCUUCCUUUUU